GACGAACGCUGGCGGCGUGCCUAAUACAUGCAAGUAGAACGCUGAAGAGAGGAGCUUGCUCUUCUUGGAUGAGUUGCGAACGGGUGAGUAACGCGUAGGUAACCUGCCUUGUAGCGGGGGAUAACUAUUGGAAACGAUAGCUAAUACCGCAUAACAAUGGAUGACACAUGUCAUUUAUUUGAAAGGGGCAAUUGCUCCACUACAAGAUGGACCUGCGUUGUAUUAGCUAGUAGGUGAGGUAAUGGCUCACCUAGGCGACGAUACAUAGCCGACCUGAGAGGGUGAUCGGCCACACUGGGACUGAGACACGGCCCAGACUCCUACGGGAGGCAGCAGUAGGGAAUCUUCGGCAAUGGGGGCAACCCUGACCGAGCAACGCCGCGUGAGUGAAGAAGGGUUUCGGAUCGUAAAGCUCGGUUGUAAGUCAAGAACGGGUGUGAGAGUGGAAAGUUCACACUGUGACGGUAGCUUACCAGAAAGGGACGGCUAACUACGUG
rnacentral:rRNA from 1 species